AGCGCGCCCCGACCUGAGUGGAGCUCUUUUUCUGUUAUUGCGAUUGUACAAAAGGCCGACAGAUUGCUUCUCUUUGUUCGCAAUGACAGAAAAAAGCGGGAACGGAGGGCGGAUAAAGGC
rnacentral:misc_RNA from 1 species